rnacentral:lncRNA from 1 species
CAGGUAAAUGCGUUAGCACCCAUGAUUAGAUACUGGAACACUUAUGUCUUUAAUGUGAGUUUACCGAAUUGCUUAUUAUGGUUUGAUCUCGAAUUAAUUAAUUCCGAUCAGGGAAGGGUAGCAUAGUUUUUCUUUAUGCCAGUCUCGUAUAUGAAUUUUCUGACCAGUUGAGCACGGACAAAUGAGUAAAUUUUAUGUGCUAAUAUAAAUUGAAGACAUCUCUGCAUCCAAUUGAGUGAUUGAUGAGUACUUAGAGAGUGCACUGAUGUUAUAUUCAUUUACACUUGGUAGGUUUAAGUCUUUUAUGCUGUAUUUAUACUUCCAC